rnacentral:rRNA from 1 species
AGUGAACGCUGGCGGUAGACCUAACACAUGCGAGUCGAACGGCAGCACAGUAAGAGCUUGCUCUUACGGGUGGCGAGUGGCAGACGGGUGAGGAAUACAUCGGAAUCUACUUUUUCGUGGGGGAUAACGUAGGGAAACUUACGCUAAUACCGCAUACGACCUACGGGUGAAAGCAGGGGAUCUUCGGACCUUGCGCGAUUGAAUGAGCCGAUGUCGGAUUAGCUAGUUGGCGGGGUAAAGGCCCACCAAGGCGACGAUCCGUAGCUGGUCUGAGAGGAUGAUCAGCCACACUGGAACUGAGACACGGUCCAGACUCCUACGGGAGGCAGCAGUGGGGAAUAUUGGACAAUGGGCGCAAGCCUGAUCCAGCCAUACCGCGUGGGUGAAGAAGGCCUUCGGGUUGUAAAGCCCUUUUGUUGGGAAAGAAAAGCAGCAGGUUAAUACCCCGCUGUUCUGACGGUACCCAAAGAAUAAGCACCGGCUAACUUCGUG